AUCUAAUAAUCGGACAACGUCCAAAUCACGUUGAAAUUACCAGUUCUCGUCUGAUCACUGAAGUCAAGCAACGUUGAGCACGGAGACGCCAACAAUUAUAAACAAACUAAUAUUGAGCCAAUUUUAUGACUGUCAAUUGACGGCCAAUGUUCUGUCAAUCACUAUUGAAGUUUCACUGGCUAUCAAAUAACAGCCAAUGUUCUGUCAGCCAGUACUAAUUAUAAAAUUUUCUCUUAAUUUGAUGCAUGCAACAUGAACAGAUCUCACAAGUCACAAGAGUAAGAAAACUAUUCUUAAGAAAUGUAAUAAUCGGACAACGUCCAAAUCACGUUGAAACUACCAGUUCUCGUCUGAUCACUGAAGUCAAGCAACGUUGAGCACGGAGACGCCAACAAUAAUAAACUAACCAAUAUUUAUCGAAUUUUAUGACUGUCAAUUGACGGCCAAGGUUCUAUCAAUCCCUAUUCAAGUUUCAGUGGCUAUCAAAUAAUAGCCAAUGUUUUGUCAGCCAGUACUGGGCUAAAUAUAAAAUUUUCUCUGAAUUUGAAGCAUGCAACAUGAACCAAUCUCACAAGUCACAGGAGUAAGAAAAUCAUUCUUAAGAAAUGUGACAAUCGGACAACGUCCAAAUCACGUUGAAACUACCAGUUCUCGUCUGAUCACUGAAGUCAAGCAACGUUGAGCACGGAGACUCCAACAAUAAUAAACAAACCAAUAUUUAGCGAAUUUUAUGACUUUCAAUUGACGGCCAAGGUUCUGUCAAUCACUGUUGAAGUUUCACUGGCUAUCAAAUAACAGCCAAUGUUCUGUCAGCCAGUACUGGGUUAAAUAUAAAAUUUUCUCUGAAUGUGAA